rnacentral:rRNA from 1 species
UACGAACCGUCCAAACGUUAUUCGGUAUCACUGGGCUUAAAGCGUGCGUAGGCGGCUUGGUAGGUGAGAUGUGAAAGCCCACGGCUCAACCGUGGAAUUGCGUUUCAAACCCCCAAGCUCGAGGAAGAUAGGGGUGAUGGGAACUUAUGGUGGAGCGGUGAAAUGCGUUGAUAUCAUAGGGAACACCGGUGGCGAAAGCGCAUCACUGGAUCUUUUCUGACGCUGAGGCACGAAAGCUAGGGUAGCGAACGGG